rnacentral:rRNA from 1 species
AUUGAACGCUGGCGGCAGGCUUAACACAUGCAAUUCGAGCGAGCGGCGGACGGGUGAGUAAUGUCUGGGAAACUGCCUGAUGGAGGGGGAUACCUACUGGAAACGGUAGCUAAUACCGCAUACCAUCAGAUGUGCCCAGAUGGGAUUAGCUAGUAGGUGGGGUAAUGGCUCACCUAGGCGACGAUCCCUAGCUGGUCUGAGAGGAUGACGAGCCACACUGUAACUGAGACACGGUCCAGACGCAUACGGGAGGCAGCAGAGGGGAAGAUUGCAUAAUGGGCGCAAGCCUGAUGCAGCCAUGCCGCGUGAGUGAAGAAGGCCUUCGGGUUGUAAAGCACUUUCAGCGAGGAGGCGUUACUCGCAGAAGAAGCACCGGCUAACUCCGUGCCAGCAGCCGCGGGAAUUC